CCGUCCUUAGCUCAAGAAGAGCGGCGGUCUUGUAAACCGCGGGUGCAAGUUGUGUCUUGUGGGAUGGU
rnacentral:tRNA from 1 species